UUCACCUUGGUGGACGCCAAUAGGUUACUUAAACCUAGUAAGGCCUUCACGGCUCCGGCAUGCCUCAGACGACCACUACCACUUCCGGCCACCGUGGGCUGCUUCGUCUGCAUAUUGUUAUUGUUGCCCGCUUGCCUACUGGUUGACCGAGUAGCAAGCGACGAGAGGCCACCGCUCAUGAAUGGCUUCUGAUCGCCCAGCUGGUUGAACCGACGACCGACAGCCGG
rnacentral:lncRNA from 1 species